rnacentral:piRNA from 1 species
UGAGUCAGGAAUGACAGGCAGGUAGCCAUGU